rnacentral:lncRNA from 1 species
GCUGAACUGAGACGCGGCUCCGCUCACAGGGCCACCGGCGGCUGCUGCGGCUGCUGGUCCUCGGCCCCCGGGCUGCGGCGGCGGCGGCUGGAGAACGGGGGGGGAGGGGGGUUGGUGCUGCAGAGCGGACCCGCCUGGACUCGAACGGCGCCAAUUCCUUUCACCGAGUUCGCGAGGGAGACGCGGAGACUCGCCCGUCGCGAGCGAGCACGCAACGUCCUCUCGUCGGCCGGCGUCGCGCACUUCGUGUGCUACCCAAAUGGACACAGGCAUGCAAAAGUUUAACUGGUGGCAUUUCAAGUUCUAGGAACUUUCAAAAUAGUACUGAGAAAAAGAAAGAGUGUAAACUCUUUGUGGGCACACAACACGUCACUUUGUUUUCCUGUAUUUCACAAGAGUCCAUAAUGCACCUUCGCAAGUGGGUACGCGUUGGAUUCCACCUCUACUCCUGUUACUAGAGUUCUCCAGUACCUUUUACACUAGACAUUCACAAAAGAGGAGGGACUGCUGAGAAAAAACAAAUCCUAAAAAUGAAUAACAAAAAGUCACCUGGGGGAAGAUUGGCAAGAUUACCAGUUAUGCCCAGGUAUGUCUGGAAUAAAACUCCUAUGUAUUCUUUUUUAAAAAAGAUAUUUGUGAAAUGCUUACUGUGUGUCAAACUCUGGUCUGGGAUAGAUAGAAGUUAAUUAGGUCGGACACAGUCUCUGUCCAACUUGGGGCUCACAGUCUAAAUAGGCAAAAGAACAGGUACUGAAUCCCCUUUUUACAAUUGGGGAAACUGAGGCACAGAGAAGUUAAGUGACUUGCCCAAGGUCACAGAGCAAGCAGUUGGCUGAGCCACGAUUAGUAGCCAGGCUUAGUUAUUAAUACCAAUGUAGGUAGCUUCAUUAUCACGGCUACUAUUAUAAUAUUAUACCUUUAUGUAUCUACUUAUCCCCAUCCCCAGCAUUUAAGUGCUGGAUACGGUGCUUUAGUAAAGUGUAUUGGAAGCAGGGGGUACCUGCUAAGAAGUAGAAGUAGGAGGGGGAGGAAGAGUAGAAAUAAUACUUUUAUUCAUUCCGUCAGUCGGUCGCAUUUAUUGAACAUUGUACUAAGCACUUGGGAGAGUAUAAUACAAUAAUUAACGGACAUAUUCGCUGCCCAUAACAUGCUUAAAGUCUAGAGGGGGCAACAGCUGACUACUGCUACCACAAUGAUUCUGAAUCUGGCUUUUGAUGAAUUCCUGUUAUAUAGUAACUAACUGGAGCCCCGUUUACUUGUCAGAGAUACAGAGAGCCUUUUCUUUGGCCCUCUCCCACAACAGAACAGUUCAGUGCCACCAACCACCCGUCUCCUAAGAACUCUUGACAUUUGGACCGAAAGAGACUAAUAGGAAAAUAAUAAAUUACCUGGCAAUUACCAACAGGCUUACACAGAGCACACUCAAGUUAGCAAGGUCUGAAUGACACCCAAUUUGAGAUAAAAUGCUACCAAUGAAUAGCCCUAGGACGCAGUUCCUUCCCCAGACCACCCUAGGACGCAGUUCCUUCCCCAGACCACUCUGUCGUAACACCGCCUGGUGAAGUGGGAGAGACGGGCCCGGAGAAGUCAUUUGGAAAAUUGCGAAGACAAAGACGAGAGGGCCAUGCCAAAAAACCAGGCCUCCCACACCAAAAGAAAAAUCUGCCGAUCGGCCUGACGGCAUCGUUUCAUCCCGUCGUGCUCUGGGGUCGGGUGGUGGGGAGCGGGAAGAGGAGGAAAAGCUGCAGUUUGGCAGUCCUGGGCUUCCCCACAUACGAGCUUUGGAGCAUGGAGCACACAGGAGAGGCAGGGAGGAUCCUGGCAAAUCUCAUGUUCCACUGAAGCACCUGCUCUGCUGGCAGCUGGGGAGACGGGCCCCAAAAUAGCACUGCAGCUCCCACUCACAAUAACGCAGGAACUCCCCUGCACUGCAGGCAAGGGGGAAAAGAGAAAUGAGAAAGAAAUACCAGGGAGACAGAAAUGGCAUGGUUUAGUGGCAAGAGCACGGGCUUGGGAGCCGGAGAAUACGGGUUCUAAUUCCGGCUCUCCCACUUGUCUGCUGUGUAAACUUGGGCAAGGCACUUAACUUUUCUGUGCCUCAGUGACCUCAUCUGUAUAAUGGAGAUCAAAACUGUAAACCCCAUGUGGGACAGGGACUGUGUCCAACUUGAUUACCUUGUAUCUAUCUAUCCCAGCGCUUAGAAUAGUGCUCAAGCAUAGAAAGUGCUUAACAAAUACUAAUAUUAUUGUUGUUAUUGGUAGUAAUAAUAAUAAUAAUAAACCUCCACAAGGCUUUUUCUCCACAGCACUCUCCCUUCACUGAAUCUGCUCUAUAUAGGGGCUUGGGUGAAAUCCAAAAUCUGCCUUGGGAAGAAGAGGGAGGUAGUGAGUGUGAUAGGGGGAUGAUUUAUGGGUCCUUGAUCCAUGGAAGGUGGAGAAUGAGGACUCUUCUAAUAAUGGGCAAGGCCAGCCUGACCCAGUCCACAGUCUGAAGGCCUUUUGAGGAGACACCUGUGGUCAUGUAGUAGUUACAGUUGCCUGUCAACCUUUGCAGGAAGCAAAAACUCCUCACUCUUGGCUUCAAAGCUCUCCAUCACCUUGCCCCUUCUUUCCUCACCUCCCUUCUCUCCUUCUACAGCCCAAUCGGUGCACUCCGCUCCUCUGCUGCUCACCUCACAGCACCUUGUUCUUGCCUCUCCGGCCAUCAACCCCUGGCCCACGUCCUACCACUGACCUGGAAUGCCCUCCCUCCUCACAUCCGCCAAACUUAACUCCCUUCCCCUUUUCGAAGCCCUACUGAGAGCUCGCCUCCUCCAGGAGCCCUUCCCAGACUGAGCCCUCCCUUUCCCUCUGCCCCUCCCCCCCCAUUCCCCCUACUCCUUUCCUCUGCUCUACCCCAUUCCCCUCCCCACAGCACUUGUGUAUAUUUGUAUAUAUUAUUUAUUAUUCUAUUUAUUGUAUUAAUGAUGUGUAUAUAGCUAUGAUUUUAUUUAUUUUGAUGGUAUCGAUGCCUGACUACUUUUUUUAUUUUGCUGUCUGUCUCCCCCUUUUAGACUAUGAGCACAUUCUUGGGCAGGGAUUGUCUCUAUCUGUUGCCGAAUUGUACAUUCCAAGCGCUUAGUAUAGUGCUCUGCACACAGUAAGUGCUCAGUAAAUACUUUUGAAUGAAUAAAUGAAUUAAGCACUUACUGUGUACCAAACACUGUACUAAGCACAGGGAAAAGAGUAUACAGGUAUGUGGGCUAAGGGGGCCGGUCCUAUGUAGGGUGGAUGUUUAUUUGGCUUUAUUACAGAACAGCUGAUUUGGGGCUGGCAUGUCCUCUGCUCGGUGAAUUCUAUGAAUGUCUGGGAAUUUUAUUUUAAAUGCCCAGGUUGCUUUGGUAGCCCUGGGAAGAGGAAGGCAUACCUCUGGAGCAAAGGUGGGGAGUGACCCGGGUUUUUUUUGUUUGUUUGGUUUUUAAUGGUAUUUGUUAAGCGCUUAAAUGUGUCCAACAGUGUACCAAGCACUGGGGAUCAGCCAGGUUGAACCCAGUCCCUGUCCCCCAAACAGGGCUCACAGUCUAAGUAGAAGGGAACAUGCUGUAGGUUCUGCUGAUUUCCUUAAGAGGGUCUGUAUAGCUUCAUUAGGGACCAUUAUGUUACCCACAGAACAACCAUAAAGGAAUGUGUGCCCCUCACUUCACCCUAGCCACGGAUGACCCUGGGGGAGUCCUCCAACUCCACAGAGGUCUCAGGUUCUUAGUAUGGUGCGUUACAUCCAGUGGAUGCUCAAAUAAUGGUAUUUAAGUGCUUACCAUAUGCUAAGGACUGUACUAAGCACUGGGGUAGCCACAGCUAAGAAGAUUGGACAUAGUCCCUGUACCACGUGGGGCUCACAGUCUAAGGUGGAGGAAGAACGGAUAUUGGAAUCCCCAUUUUACAGAUGAGGAACUGCAACACGGAGAAGUUAAGGUCACAUAGCAGACAAGGGGUGGAGCCAGGAUGAGAACCCAGGUCCUCUGAUUUCCCAGGUCUGGACUCUUUCCCUCAGUUCAAAUGUCCACUCCAGGAAGGGUAAGUGAGAGAAUUUGAAGAACAACAACCUGAUUCUGAAGUAAUGUUGAGAGGGUCAGAAGGAGCCACUGAAGGACCAAUGCAAAAUCAAGAGGUGGGGUAUAUUUCACUGCAUGUGAAAGUCUUUGUUUUUUUCUCUGCUUAUCAUGCAUCUGGUGCAUAGUAAAUUCUUAACAAAUACAAUAAUAAUAAGAAGAAGAAUAUAGUUGUUUUCGCUACUCUUUAAUAUCAUCUUCUAAUAGGAAAUUGUUUUUAUUUUUAUAUGGGGAAAAUAAACUGUAAAAACAUAAGCUCCUUGUGGGCAAGGAAUGUCUCAUACUCUUUUGUACUUUUCUCAACCUCUUAGCACAAUGCAUUGCACCCCACUGAUGCUCAAUAAGUAACUUUAAUACUGCUACUAGUACAUGGACUUCUUUACAUUUAUUCUUUUUCAUAGGGAAUCUCUCUCUCUUUCUCUCUCUCUCUCACAUACACACACACACACACACACACACACAGAGUUCAUCAUUUAAAUAUCUAAAAAAUUCCAGGAGAGAACCAUGGAAUAAGUGCCCUUGAGAAAAAGAAAUAUGAGAGUGGUUAUUAUGGCAUGCAAUUAAAUAUUCCAGUUAUAGCUAAGUUUUGGCCAACUUGGCCUCCCAGACUGACGAUAGAUCUAUUUGACUCUUGGUUUUCAGUUUAAAUUGAUUUAUAUCCAAGUUCUCAACUUUUUCAAAAAGUAUGAUUUUUUUCAACCAAAUGCUAAAAAAGUGAAGGA